CAGUCGCCGCGGUAAUACAGAGGAUGCAAGCGUUAUCCGGAAUGAUUGGGCGUAAAGCGUCUGUAGGUGGCUUUUCAAGUUCGCCGUCAAAUCCCAGGGCUCAACCCUGGACAGGCGGUGGAAACUACCAAGAUGGAGUACGGUAGGGGCAGAGGGAAUUUCCAGUGGAGCGGUGAAAUGCGUUGAGAUCGAAAAGAACACCAACAGCGAAAGCACUCUGCUGGGACGACACUGACACUAAGAGACGAAAGCUAGGGGAGCAAAUGGGAUUAGAUACCCCUGUAGUCCCUGUCUCUUAUAC
rnacentral:rRNA from 1 species